UUAACUCAAAUUUGUAUGGAGUUGGAACGUUUACCUACGUUUGCCGCUAGGGGCGCUGUUCCAACUGUGUAUACAUUUGAGUUA
rfam:Bombyx mori DNA, contig: Bm_scaf23_contig15777, strain: p50T/Dazao, build 2, whole genome shotgun sequence.